ACCCAACGCCUCUCUUCUUCUUCUUCCUUUUCUAUUCUUUUUCCCUUCUCCCCUGCUUCUCACGCACACACAUAUCCAUCUCCCCCUUCAUCCUUAUUUCCUUUCUUCUCCCCAUUUUCCUCAUUUCUCUUCUCCUCUACCAUACACCCACACACCCGUGAAAGAGAGGGCUGCCGUGUGAAGGAGAGUCGCCGUGGGAGAGGAUUACCGGCUGGAAAAUGAAGAUCCAGCCACGUUGCAGCCCAAGAAAAAGAGAGAAGAAGAAGAAGAAAUAGGAGAUCCGGCAAUGGGCUUUUGUGGGGGCACAUGUCGUGAUUGGAAACUUCAUCGUGUCCUCCAAUCUAGAGUUCAAGUAACUAGAACACAGGAGAAAUGUUUGAGUCAAGAGUCCGAUGCAGCCAAGACGUUUAUGCUUUGGUUGCAGGUUUUGCGGAUAUAGUUAUUGACUCGUCCACCUAGUGUCUGGGAUGCUAUGAUUGGAGCAUAUCGCGACAGUCAUAAGUCACCGACUCAUGGGUAGUCCGCAUUUUGGGUAUUUUAUUUAUGGCUUGUGUACCACGUGACACAUAUAUUUGUUGAGCCUAUAUUUAGUAUGUAAUUGGUGUAAUAUGUUUUAUAAGCCUUAAAUAGAUAGUCUUGUAAAUGGCUCUUGUUGUAAUUAAUUGUUAUGUAUUAGAUGUAUUUCCGCUUAUGAUAUGUGUUCCGCUGCACAUUGAUUAUUAUAUUCCACUGUUAGAUUUAACUCUGA